AUGUGAAUAACCUGGGUAUUUUGUAAAAUGCAGAAUUUGAUUCAGUUGGUCUGAGAGAGAUAGAAAGAGUCUGCAUUUCUGUAAAGUUCUCAGGUGAUGCUGAU
rnacentral:pre_miRNA from 1 species